rnacentral:tRNA from 1 species
GGUAAUAUAAUUUAUUUUUAGAAUACUUAGUUUGCAUCUAAGAAGAAGUUUAAUCUUUUUACCA